rnacentral:rRNA from 1 species
GCGACCCCAGGCCAGGCGGGAUGACCCGCUGAGUUUAA